rnacentral:rRNA from 1 species
AUGUUCUACAGUGCUUUGAAAAGAGGUGUGGCUACUUGGUGGAGGAUGUACCAAACCAUCAAUGGAUGGCAAAGAGUAACCACUUGGGAAGAAUUUAAGUUGACUUUGCAAAUGUCUCGGUUUGUGCCCCAGAAAUUGAAGCCUUCGGGAAAGGAUAUGAAGAAAUCUUGUGCAUGCAAGCUCUGUGGAGAAAUAGGACACACCCAUAAGGAACAUAAGGAUGAAUGCCCUAAUUGUGAAGGAAGUCACCCAGCUGAAGAAUGCCCAACUAGGCAGAUUACUUGUUUCUUGUGUGAAGGGACUACCCACUACCCUGCUCAGUGUCACAUUUACCCUAUGGUACAGAGAACCAUCCAGCAGAAGAAAGAAGAAAUGAAAGGAGCCCUCAUGGAGAUGUUAGAAGAACCUGCAACGAAGGAAGAUGUCGAGGACACACACAAAGGAAACAAAAUUAAAGCCCGCACCAAGUCAUGCUAUUCAUGUGGAGAAGAAGGACACAUCUCCCAAGAUUGUCUGAAUGGAGAUCUAGUAGAAUUCCCGAUAGAGGAAGUAGAGUACGACCCACAGGAAAUAGAAGCCCUGAUUGGAACGGAAAAGUCUAGGAAGAGGAAUAGAUUGGAUUCCAGGAAGGACCUGAGUCAUGUCACCUGUUACAAAUGCAAGGAGUCAGGGCACUACAUCAACACUUGCCCAAAAAGGAAGCCAAGGACCCAAGGAGGCUAUAUAAUCACAAGGAAACCUCGAAACUUGUCAGAAGUAAUAUGUUUCCGUUGUAAUGUAGCUGGGCACUUUGCCAGAGAUUGUCCGAAGGAGAAGGAGACUGGUGAUAAAUAG